rnacentral:rRNA from 1 species
CCUACGGGAGGCUGCAGUGAGGAAUAUUGGUCAAUGGACGAGAGUCUGAACCAGCCAAGUAGCGUGAAGGAUGACUGCCCUAUGGGUUGUAAACUUCUUUUAUAUGGGAAUAAAAUGUUCCACGUGUGGGAUUUUGUAUGUACCAUAUGAAUAAGGAUCGGCUAACUCCGUGCCAGCAGCCGCGGUAAUACGGAGGAUCCGAGCGUUAUCCGGAUUUAUUGGGUUUAAAGGGAGCGUAGGUGGAUUGUUAAGUCAGUUGUGAAAGUUUGCGGCUCAACCGUAAAAUUGCAGUUGAAACUGGCAGUCUUGAGUACAGUAGAGGUGGGCGGAAUUCGUGGUGUAGCGGUGAAAUGCUUAGAUAUCACGAAGAACUCCGAUUGCGAAGGCAGUUCACUGGACUGCAACUGACACUGAGGCUCGAAAGUGUGGGUAUCAAACAGGAAUAGAUACCCUUGUAGUC